GGCUAACGCUGGCGGCGUGUCUUAGCCAUGCAAGUCGAGCGGACUUAUGGGGUAACUUAUAAGUCAGCGGCGGACGGCGGAGUAACACGUAGCUAACCUACCCUCUGGACGGGGAUAACCUACCGAAAGGUGGGCUAAUACCCGAUGUAGUCAUCCUGUAUAGGGGUGAUGAAAGGUGGGCUUCUGUUUACAAGCUCAUGCUGGAGGAGGGGGCUGCGGCCUAUCAGGUAGUUGGUAGGGUAAUAGCCUACCAAGCCGAUGACGGGUAGCCGGCCUGAGAGGGUGACCGGCCCGAGGGGCACUGAGAUACGGGUCCCACUCCUACGGGAGGCAGCAGGCUAGAAAUUUGGGCAAUGGGGGAAACCCUGACCCAGUGACGCCGCGUGCAGGAAGGAGCCCUUCGGGGUGUAAAGCUCUUUCAGCCGGGAAGAAAGCGCACUCUCUAACAUAGGGUGUGGAUGACGGUACCGGAAGAAGAAGCACCGGCUAACUACGUG
rnacentral:rRNA from 1 species